CUCUGUGACUCUAUGACUGACUGUGCCUGACUGUGAUGCUGUCUGUGACUCUGUGUCUCUGUGACUCUGUGAUUCUUCCCUCACCUCCCUCCUCCAUUCCCACUCCAUUUUUUGGGUGGUUUUUCUCUCUGAGGGGCGCAGGGAAGCGAGGGGGCACAGCAGCACCCCCUGUGCUCCCCCCCUGCCCAGGCAGCCGCUGCGAAAGAUCAAAGCACGGUAAAAAUAGCAAGAGGGGAGAGCUUGUGGGUUUGACAUCUGGAGGCCAGAAACAGCUCCUGCUUUGGAGGAGGCAAGAGCCACGUGGGAAAUGUCUGUGCUUCUUGCCUGGAUAAAACAGUUAUUCCAUCUGAUGAAGAGCUGGAGCUGUUGGGAAGUGCUUGGUGCCCUGUGGCAUGUGGAAUGUUGGACUCUUUGUGAUCCUUUCUAAACUUCACCUGUACAGAACAGGAGAAUGCCAGAAAUGUUUGGAGUGGAAAGGAUCUUAAAGCUCCUCUCAUUCCAUGGGCAGGGACACCUUCCACUAGUCCAGGUGCUGGAAUGAUCACUUGUCUGGAUUGAUUUCCUUUAUGUGGGGUCAGUUACCAUCUUCUCCUCCUUGACCUGAUGCUAAAAGAGCUUUUCCUCUCUUCCAUUCACACCUUCCAAUGGAAAAUAUCUCUAAUUUGCCCUUCUUUGAUGGUGUUCCUGGGGGUUUUCCCGGAUGCUCCCAAUCCCAGUGCACAGUGCCAGUCCCACGGCUCAGGAUGAUGCCAAAGGAUUGUGCCACUUUCGUUAGCACAGUCAUUAACCGUCUCCUCAGCAAUUAAUUCCACUUGCUCAUCACCCACCGCU